UGGGGAAUAUUGCACAAUGGGCGCAAGCCUGAUGCAGCCAUGCCGCGUGUAUGAAGAAGGCCUUCGGGUUGUAAAGUACUUUCAGCGAGGAGGAAGGCGUUGUGGUUAAUAACCGCAGCGAUUGACGUUACUCGCAGAAGAAGCACCGGCUAACUCCGUGCCAGCAGCCGCGGUAAUACGGAGGGUGCAAGCGUUAAUCGGAAUUACUGGGUGUAAAGCGCACGCAGGCGGUCUGUCAAGUCGGAUGUGAAAUCCCCGGGCUCAACCUGGGAACUGCAUCCGAAACUGGCAGGCUAGAGUCUUGUAGAGGGGGGUAGAAUUCCAGGUGUAGCGGUGAAAUGCGUGGAGAUCUGGAGGAAUACCGGUGGCGAAGGCGGCCCCCUGGACAAAGACUGACGCUCAGGUGCGAAAGCGUGGGGAGCAAACA
rnacentral:rRNA from 1 species